UGUGUGUGUUUGAGUGUGUGUGUGUAUGUGUGUGUAUAUGUGUGUGUAAAUAUAUAUAUAUACACACACACACACACACAUACACACAUACA
rnacentral:miRNA from 1 species